AAGCUUGGACCCUUUGAAUAAGAGUGAAAACUACAACUCCAGCAUCAGAUUGUGGCUUUUUGUUGAAUGGUGAUUAUUUUAACCCUACAGAAGUUUUACAAGCUUAAGAAGAGCAGUUUAAUUGGAAGAUGAAAAGGUUUUAUCCAAGAUAUUUUGUUUUGGUUCAUGAUUAAGCAAGUCUAACCAAUAAUUCUAUCUUGAUUUGUCCCACUCAUGGUGGAAAAAAGCUAUAUAAUAACAAAGUGACAUGGGUGGAUGUGGGUGGAUGUGGAUAUGCAUUUGACCUUUCUUUGUGGAAAUUUUUGUUGCUUCAAACAAGGUGGGGACGAGAAAAUAAGAACCAAUUGUCAUUAAGAUACCUAUCUCUCUCUUUUUCCUCUGCAUAAACGAGCUACACACUUCACUGAGUUGAAAAGAAAAGGAAAAAUGGUGCAGAAACUGAACAUAGAGCAAUUCAAAGGCCAGGCAAGGCUACCAAGCUUUGCAGUUCCAAGUCGUUACGAUCUUCACCUUAAACUUGAUCUGUGUGCAUGUGCUUUUACUGGUACUGUAAACAUCAACCUUAGCAUCAUCCAAAAUACUAACUUCAUUGUCUUAAAUGCCGCUAGACUUAAUGUUCAUGAAGUCUUGUUCGCCACCUCUCACAACCAAAAAUAUAGUCCAUGUGAUGUUGUUCUGGACAACAGUGAUCAAAUACUUGUCCUGGUCUUCAAUGAAGCUCUUAGUGUCGGCGAAGGAGUGUUGGGGAUCAAGUUUUCUGGGAAUCUUAAUGACCAUUUGGAGGGGUUCUAUAAAUGUACUUAUAUGGAGAAAGAAGUGAAGAAGAAUAUGGCAGUUACUCAAUUUGAACCUGUGGAUGCAAGGUCGUGUUUCCCAUGCUGGGAUGAACCAGCUCUUAAGGCAACCUUCAAGAUAACACUCGAUGCACCAUCAGACUUGACAGCGUUAUCUAAUAUGCCAGUUAUUGAUGAAAAGUUCAGUGGAAAUAUGAAGACUGUUUAUUUUGAGGAAUCUCCUGUUAUGUCAACAUAUUUGGUGGCCCUGGUGGUUGGUUUAUUUGAUCAUAUUGAAGACACAACUAGUCUUGGUGUAAAGGUCGGUGUAUAUUGCCCUGUUGGCAAGAGUGAUGAAGGAAAGUACGCUUUAGAUGUUGCUAUUAAGUCACUUGACAUAUUCACCAAGUUUUUCUCAACUCCUUACCCACUCCCUAAACUGGAUAUGGUUGCCGUCCCUGAAUUUUCUGCUGGAGCUAUGGAGAAUUUUGGUUUGAUCGUAUACCGUGAAAGUGAUAUGCUUUAUAGUGAUUUGAAAUCUACAGCUAGACGGAAGCAGAUUAACACAAUUGUUACUGCACAUGAAGUGGCUCAUCAAUGGUUUGGCAAUCUGGUAACAAUGGAAUGGUGGACUCAUUUGUGGCUUAAUGAGGGUUUUGCAACAUGGAUUAGUUACAUGGUCACUGACAUCCUAUUUCCCGAGUGGCAAAUAUGGACUCAAUUUCUUCAACAAACAGCUGAUGGCCUAAGUCUGGAUUCACUGCAGCAAUCACAUCCUAUCGAGGUGGAGGUUGACAAUGCUCAUGGAAUUCAUCAAAUUUUUGAUGACAUAAGCUAUAGUAAAGGAUCAGCAGUCAUCAGAAUGUUGCAGGGUUACCUUGGGGACGAUAUUAUUCAGAUGUCCUUAAGUUCAUACAUGAAGAAAUAUGCUUGGAAAAAUGCGAAGACAGAAGAUUUAUGGAGAGUUAUUUCGGAGGAAUGUGGUGUUAAUAUAAAUUCAAUGAUGGACUGUUGGACAAAGCAGAAAGGAUAUCCUGUUAUCCAUGUGAAAUCCAAAGAUCAAGUUUUGGAAUUUGAGCAGUCACAAUUUCUGUUAUCUGGUUUGCCUGGUGAUGGAAUAUGGACUGUUCCAAUAACUUUGUCCUUGGGUUCAUAUGACAAGUGCAAGAGUUUCCUUUUGGGAUCAAAAAUUGAAAAAGUUGAUAUAUCAGAAAUGUUUCCUUCUUCCGAUGGCAAAUCAAGCUCACUCAAGGAAAAGAAUCAAGAACACUGUGAUGAAAUUUUAUGGGUCAAAGUUAAUGUUGAGCAGAGUGGUUUCUAUAGAGUAAUUUAUGAUGACGAACUUGCAGCUCCACUCAGGAAAGCAGUGGAAAAAAAAAGCUUGUUGGCUACUGACAGAAUUGGCAUUUUGGACGAUAUGCUUGCCCUUUCCAAGGCUUGCAAACAGCCAUUAUCAUCUUUGCUUCUGUUGAUGAGUGCAUAUAGAGAAGAAGAUGGUCAUAUGGUGUUGUCAAAACUCAUUGAUGUUUGUUAUGAGGUUAUUGAGAUCUCAACAGAUUCCAUCCCCGAGUUAGUCAAUGAAUUGAAAGCAUUUUGCAUCAGUCUCCUCCAACAUUCUGCAGAAAAAGUAGGUUGGGAUUCAAAGCCUGGAGAGAGCCAUUUGAAUUCAUUGUUAAGGGGACAAGUCUUUGCAGCUUUGGCUACUUUUGGUCAUGACAAAACUCAACUAGACGCAAUGGAGCGCUUUCAGGUUUUGUUGAAGGACAAAGACACUAAAAUACUUUCCCCUGAAGUAAGAAAGGCUGCAUAUAUUGCUGUAAUGAGAAACUCUAGGACCACAGAUAGGUGUGGCUUUGAGUCCCUACUGGAGUUCUACAGAGAAGCUGAUGCAACACAAGAGAAGGAACUGAUUUUACAGGCUCUACCGUGUUCUCCUGACCCAGAUAUAGUUCACGAGGUUUUGAACUUUAUGCUGUCUGAUAAGGUUUGUAAUCAAGAUGUUAUUUUUGUGCUUCGAGGAAUAAGCUUAGAAGGCCGUGAAACCGCAUGGAAAUGGUUGCAGAUAUGUUUGAUUAUAUAUGCAGGAGAAUUGGCAGCAGAUCUUGAAUAAAUAUGGGUCAGGAAUUCUACUCCAUCAUUUCGUCAGGGGUGUUGUCACACUGUUUUGCAGCGAUGAAAAGGCUGAUGAGGUUGAAUCAUUUUUUGCAAAUCAUGUGAAUCCUGGAAUCGACAAGAUAUUAAAGCAAAGCAUUGAACACGUCCGAAUCAAGGCAAGGUGGAUCGAAGCCAUCAAGCAGGAACAUUCUCUUCCGAAUUUACUCAUGCAAUUAGCUCAAAAGGGAUAAAAGUUUAUUCCAUGAUUACAAUACUGGAGAAACCAAACUGCUAUAAAUAUUAUGAUGGCAUGAUGCUAGAUAAUUAGUAUGUGAUAUUUAAGUGUUGUAAUUGUGCCCCUCCACUUAUCAGAAGAUAUUCAGGAAAUUUAUCAAUGGAAUAAGGGCAUCUUUUUGUUUCACAUUGUUGGGUUCUUGAAUCCCCAAGCAAAACAUCAGAGGUUUCUUAUAAA